rnacentral:ribozyme from 1 species
AUUUUAAGAAGUGUCUUGUCUUUUCUCUGUUUUUUUUUUUUUUUUUUUUUUUUCAAAUGAAUGCCCAGUUGUGUAUAUAUAUAUUUACA